AAUGGCCAUUAUCGAAGCUAUAAUAUAUUCUCAAUACAUAUUGUGGUUCAAAGUUGUCCUAGAUAAAAUUCUUUAAUGAUGGUCACUGAUUGCCUUUGCAUAGGCUUCUCAGUAUUACCUAUUAAGGAGACAAAA